UGUUAAAUGUAGUUGCUGCUUGACUGGGA
rnacentral:piRNA from 1 species